GACUGCGAUCUGGCUGCAACUUCUUUUGUCCCAUUGAUCUCUAGGGUUGAUUCUGUUGAUACGGAUGGCUGGGGUAUUCUCCACUUCCUCCCUUUAUGCACCAUGUGAAUCCCUGCUAAAGUUGCAAACUUGGUUAAACAGGAUGACCUUCCUUGGUGGAGGAGGACCAGUCUUCCAUCGGGGUGUAUCAGUAGCUGUGCUCCCCCACUAGAACCUCUAAACAAACUCCCAGGUUCUUAUAUUUUUGAUAUUAAAGAUUAUGAGUCAGUUUUUAUUUUAAUGAACCCUCCAUGGACCUGAACUUUAUUGGGUGUGAUAUCCU
rnacentral:snRNA from 1 species